CUUCCACGAGGGCAGCCGGGGUUGCCUUCCAAAAGGUACCUUGGUCCGGCCGGUUCACAAAGAAUAAAAAGACGUUUUUCAUGAGAACCACCAGUGGAAGAAAAGAUCACUUCCUCUGUAGACACUUUAUGGGUUUCGGAUUCCAUAAACUCUGCCAUCAUUUAAGCUUCGACCAUGUGAUACGUGACUGGAUAGAAUUUCUGGAGAACUGUAUUAACAUGUUCCAAAAAGCUGAAUCCUGAGCCAGCAGAUGUGUUCCCAAGACUCACCUUACUAUGCAAAAUCAUGCAAUAGAAGCUACAGGGCUGGACAUUCGACAAUAUCGUCAGUGACAUGUGAAGACACAUAAUAAACAUGGUAGCAUGGUUCUGUCCAUGGCAAAUGGUUAAGAAAUAUGCCAGUAUUACAAUAAAUAUGGUGCU